GGAUCACUGAUGAGCGAGCACAGUUGGCUGAGGGCGCUGAGGGCCCCGUUCCAGAUGUCAGUCUGAGGGCC